rnacentral:lncRNA from 1 species
CCAGAAUCAAGACAACUCACCAGAAAAAGGACUGAGAACUCCUUCUGGAUGAAGAUACUUCCUAGGUGCAAGAGAGUUGAGUGAAGGCUAAAGCUCUAUAACCAUUGAAAGCUGGCUGGGGGAAAAGAAGAAGAGGCAAAAAGAUCAACUGAAGAAUAAACUGCUGUCAUUGGCACAAAAGAAUACCACAAAGAUUAUUUACAAAACUCGAAUCAGGAGUAGAACAGACCUCCAUGUGGAAGUUCAAUUAUGCUAAGAGGAAAGAGGAAAGGGGAAGAGUUUACAGAAAUAAAUUAAUGAUGAUGAUAAACUAUUUUCAAGCCCUUACAUUUUUUUUUUUUAUGGAGUUUCGCUCUGUCACCCAUGCUGGAGUGCAAUGGCAUGAUCUCAGCUCUCUGCAAUCUCCACCUCCCUGAUUCAA